UACGGGGGGAGCAAGCGUUGUUCGGAUUUACUGGGCGUAAAGGGCGCGUAGGCGGUCAGCACAAGUCAGUUGUGAAAUCUCCGGGCUUAACUCGGAAAGGUCAACUGAUACUGUGCGACUAGAGUGCAGAAGGGCAACUGGAAUUCUCGGUGUAGCGGUGAAAUGCGUAGAUAUCGAGAGGAACACCUGCGGCGAAGGCGGGUUGCUGGGCUGACACUGACGCUGAUGCGCGAAAGCGUGGGGAGCAAACAGG
rnacentral:rRNA from 1 species